rnacentral:rRNA from 1 species
AGAGUUUGAUCAUGGCUCAGGACAAACGCUGGCGGCGUGCCUAAAACAUGCAAGUCGAACGCUCCCUUCGGGGGGAGUGGCGGACGGCUGAGUAACACGUGGGUAACCUAUCCUGGCGUGGGGGAUAACCCGCCGAAAGGCGGGCUAAUACCGCAUACGAUCACUGGUCUCUGGACGGGUGAGGAAAGUGGUGACAUGCGCUAGGCUGGGCCUGCGGCCGAUUAGCUAGUUGGUGGGGUAAGGGCCUACCAAGGCGAUGAUCGGUAGCUGGUCUGAGAGGAUGAUCAGCCAGACUGGGACUGUGACACGGCCCAGACUCCUACGGGAGGCAGCAGUUAGGAAUCUUGGGCAAUGGGCGCAAGCCUGACCCAGCAACGCCGCGUGGGUGAUGAAGGCCUUCGGGUCGUAAAGCUCUUUUCCCGGGGAAGAUGAUGACGGUACCCGGGGAAUAAGCCACGGCUAACUACGUGCCAGCAGCCGCGGUAAUACGUAGGUGGCAA